rnacentral:rRNA from 1 species
GAUGAACGCUGGCGGCGCGCCUAACACAUGCAAGUCGAACGAUUAAAGCACCUUCGGGUGUGUAUAAAGUGGCGAACGGCUGAGUAACACGUGGGCAACCUGCCCCUCUCAUUGGGAUAGCCACGGGAAACCGUGGAUAAUACCGAAUACUUCGGGACUUCCGCAUGGAAGACUCGAGAAAGCUCCGGCGGAGAGGGAUGGGCCCGCGGCCUGUUAGCUUGUUGGUGGGGUAAUGUCCUACCAAGGCAAUGAUGGGUAGCUGGGUUGAGAGACCGACCAGCCAGAUUGGGACUGAGACACGGCCCAGACUCCUACGGGAGGCAGCAGUGGGGAAUCUUGCACAAUGGGCGAAAGCCUGAUGCAGCGACGCCGCGUGCGGGAUGAAGGCCUUCGGGUUGUAAACCGCUUUCAGCAGGGACGAGGCGAAAGUGACGGUACCUGCAGAAGAAGCCCCGGCUAACUACGUG